rnacentral:lncRNA from 1 species
CGUAAGUACCAAACCUUUAAAAUUGUAGCUCAAGUCUAAAGUGACGAUUUCCGUUAGUUUCACUAACAAAAUUGUCAGUUGACUCCUAAAAUAAAAAACUUUAUUAUUUCCCCAAAUAAGGCAGGGUCAUUUUGGAUAAAAACACAUUUUCCCUAUUAAAUAAAAAAUAAAAAUAAAAUUUUGCAAACCAUUCCCGUCUCCUUCUUUUCCAAGAUCAAAGCCACUCUAUCCAACUGCUACAACCAUCGCUGGCAGCUACCACUACCCAUCCAACACCAACAUCACCAUUAAAGCUCAGUAAUGGUAUCUCUACAACCUCUCACAAGCCCCAACACCACUUAGCUGUACUGGAUCAAGAAAACCUCUCCACUGUACUAGAUCACAAACCCCAACACUAGCAUCACCAUUGAAGCUCGGUAAUGGUAUCACCCAACGGCUCUCAAUCCCAAUGCAAAAUCCAAUCGAAAAAUCCCUUCUUCAUAAUCACAAACCUUCUUAGCUUCACCUCCCCAGUACUUGACGAUGAUGAUUUUCAAGAUUACCCGUUUCCCUCCACCUCUAAAAUUAGCUCACAGCUGCUAUCUCUCAAACCCCAAUUCUCAACCACCACUAAUCCAUUGAAAAAGCCCAAAAGCCAAAAUCCCGAAAAGGAAAAUCAAAUGGAGGCAAAUUUGGUUUGUGGGUUGGAUUCAAUUGAACUAACUCUUGAUUUGUUAAAGUCGAAUGGGUGUGGCGAGUGUUUUCUGGAAUCGUAACUCAAUGGAUUCAAGAUUGUUG